rnacentral:rRNA from 1 species
CCUACGGGAGGCAGCAGUGGGGGAUAUUGGACAAUGGGGGGAACCCUGAUCCAGCGACGCCGCGUGAGUGAAGAAGUAUCUCGGUAUGUAAAGCUCUAUCAGCAGGGAAGAAGAAAUGACGGUACCUGAGUAAGAAGCCCCGGCUAACUACGUGCCAGCAGCCGCGGUAAUACGUAGGGGGAAAGCGUUAUCCGGAAUUACUGGGUGUAAAGGGAGCGUAGACGGUGAGGUAAGUCUGGAGUGAAAGGCUGGGGCCCAACCACCGGAUUGCUCUGGAAACUAUGUGACUGGAGUGCAGGAGAGGUGAGCGGAAUUCCUAGUGUAGCGGUGAAAUGCGUAGAUAUUAGGAGGAACACCAGUGGCGAAGGCAGCUCACUGGACUGUAACUGACGUUGAGGCUCGAAAGCGUGGGGAGCAAACAGGAUUAGAUACCCCGGUAGUC